AAAUUCCCGCAGGAUUUUCCGCUUGAAGCACAAGGGUGAAAGAACAGCACCUAAACAAUCCUUUUGUUUGCUAUGCCUGUGCUGAUGGAGAGGUCAAGGAUCUAAUUCACUGGAUGGUGUGAUUGCCACAGCUAUAAUAAUUCCAGAAGGGGAUGUAAGCUAUUAACCAUGCCGAGGCAGGAGCUGGAAUCUCAGCAUAUCACACUGGGUGUAACCUACAGAAACUCCCUCCCCAGCAGAUGAAGUGAGUCAGUCCAGGUGUUACGUGGACUUCGAAGCCUCCUGGCCUAGGAGGACCUCCCUUCUUGACUGAACAGAAGAAAAACAUGAAGCAGAACCAAAAAACCCCUGGCCCUCACUGCAGGCAGAAGGGAAAUGUCACAGGCCCACGAGUCACUGCAAAAAAACAGCUGUGUAAUGGAAGUCUUUGAAGUUUGAUUCUCCCCCCUUGUCAGUUCACCAAGCAAGAGACGUGAACUGCAUCCAAACCUUCCCUCCCUGCCUCCAAACCUUUGCCUUGCCUUGCUGGAAUCCUGCCUGGCUGCAAAUUCCCUGACUUUGCCACGGGGCUGGUGUCCCACGGUGUGGUUUGUCCUUGCUCUGCCCACAAAAGUGCUCAGGAGCAACAACCCACCCCCAGAUCGUGGGGAUCCCUUUCUCCUUUCUCCAGCGAGGUUAUUCCUGUCAAUACCAAACAAGAAGAGACACUUAUCAUUUUAGGGACUUUUCCACCAUUUAUCUUCCCACUCCCUCUCUCCCCUGCACAGGUGUACACUUGUUCCAGUCACUUUUCUCCAGGGGCAGAACCUGUUUUCCUGGGGGACAGGAAUGCUGACCCGCCUGCCUUCUGCUUCGAGCAUCCAUCACACCCAGCCUCUGUGUCCCCUGGAGUCUUAAUUUUCCUCUUGACAGCAAAGACAAAUGAAUCCCCCAGGGCUCUUUGCUCAUGUCUACUCAAGGAUUCUGUGACAUUUCUUGAAGAUGUCCUGGUUUUUAAACACACAAUGAGUUUUCUUUCCACUGCCACCUACUACUGUGAAGGUGGAGAGAGAUUUGCUUCAAGAAAACCUUAUGGUGCCAAUCCCUGCCACAUCCUCUCUCUCUGCUUUCUGCUCUGGGCUGCUUCUGCUUCCCAGAUGUUGCCAGCUGUAAUGCUUUUCCUGUAUUUAGGGUUGUCCUGCACAGAUACAGUGACACUUCAUUUUGAGGUGGAACAACCAAAAGAAAAUAUAUUUUAUUUUUCAGUGUUUUUUCAAUCCAAGUUUUUCCCAACUCACCCUGAAAUCUGACUUUUGGCUUCCCCAACACCAAACCACCAACUCCCAAAUGGUGGGAAGUAUUCCCAUGAAUAUUCUCCAGUCUCUAGGAUUAGCUCACUCUCUCUGACCUCCAUGACCACAACAUGAGAGGCUGGGAGCUGCUGUUUGAAUCAUCAUCAAACCAAAGGCAAGGGGUGGUUUGUGUGUUGUUUGGGGUGAUAGUUCCACUGGGUUGUUCCAGGUGAUACAAGGAAACACGUGACACUGGGAACAUUUGCUGUCAGGACAGCACAUAGGAAUCACCCACUUUGCCAAAAGACAGUUGGACAGAUAAUCUCCCUCAUAUUAAUUAAUUUUAGACUUUUAAUAGCUUUUAAGGCUUUUUUUGGUGCCUUAUUUCUAAGAUAUUUCUGGAAAUGACAGCCAUGUUUGUAAGAGUCUCAAAGACAACUUCUGUCCCUGUUCUGGGAACAGAGCAAAGCGAUGGUCACCCACCUGCCAGCCCCUCACAGAAUGCUCACAAGCACUGCUGAUCUACCAAGAUUUUCAGGAGACCAUAAAUCACCCUAAAUAGCCCAAGCCUGUGGGAGUUCCUUGUUUUUGGCCUGGAAUCUGCCAAGGCAGCUCAUGAAAGCUGAUGACCUUCCAGGAGGAUAAAACCACAUCCCUGUCACCCAGCCCAGGAGUCUCGGAGCACAUCCUGCUGAACGCAGACAGUUCUGAAGACUUCAGUACCAACCUCCUGCUUUGCAAUGAGCCAUUCCCAGAUUCCCUGGUGCUGGAUCUUGCAUACCUGCCCUACUACAGAACCUGUCACGUCUGUAUCAGCCCAUCUUCCCGCUCUGCAUCAUCACACACCCUCACAGACGCAGAAGAAAGCUCCGAUGAAGGCAAGGCUGACACCAAGCAGGAUGAGAAAAGCAUCCCACCAAGUCUGGAGUUGAGCAAGAGGACAAUUUCUCCUCCAACCCACGGAAAGAAACCAUCCCAGCAGCUCCCAUCAGGAGCCAGCACCUCCGAACUCUGCCCGCCCUCCUCCCCCAGCAGGCUCCCACCCCUGAGCCAGCCCCUUCCCCGCAGCGGCUACUUCCCUUACUACAGGACAGAGGGAGAGAUCUGCACUCGCCCAGCUCAUGGAAAGGGGUCCUUCACUGGGACAGAGGGUCUGGAGACCAAGGAGGGAAGGCAGAGAGGAGGAGCAGGUAUUUGGAGUCUUGGUGCCAGCUGCUUGGUGUGCUGAGAAGAAAGCAGGGGUGUUGUGAACAACAUGAAAAUCUGCAUGAAUAUGAAAUAUGAGUAUUCAUGGAUUGGAUAUGAAAUAAAAAUAUUCAUUCUCUAUAACAAA